rnacentral:rRNA from 1 species
UACGAAGGGGGCUAGCGUUGUUCGGAAUUACUGGGCGUAAAGCGCACGUAGGCGGAUUGUUAAGUCGGGGGUGAAAUCCUGGAGCUCAACUCCAGAACUGCCCUUGAUACUGAGGAGCUUGAGUCCGGGAGAGGUGAGUGGAACUGCGAGUGUAGAGGUGAAAUUCGUAGAUAUUCGCAAGAACACCAGUGGCGAAGGCGGCUCACUGGCCCGGUACUGACGCUGAGGUGCGAAAGCGUGGGGAGCAAACAGG